CAUGCUAUAAACGAUGAGUGCUAGGUGUUGGGGGUCAAACCUCGGUGCCGCAGUUAACGCAUUAAGCACUCCGUCUGGGGAGUACGUUCGCAAGAAUAAAACUCAAAGGAAUUGACGGGGACCCGCACAAGCAGCGGAGCAUGUGGUUUAAUUCGAAGCAACGCGAAGAACCUUACCUGGACUUGACAUCCCUCGGACCGUCUUUUAACCGAGACUUUCCCUUCGGGGACUGAGGAGACAGGUGG
rnacentral:rRNA from 1 species